rnacentral:sRNA from 1 species
UCGACUCAAUCCGUCUACUAAGCCUACUACUUAACGCAUUCCUUUUGCGCGGUAUGUUGGUGGACGGAAAUCAGAACUGAUUCAGCCAUCGAGAUUCAGAAACCCGCGCAAAUGCGCGGGUUUUUUU